CCCUCAAGGAUGUUUGGAGAAGGAGAGCUGGGGAAAGGGUGGAAAGGGCAUGCACGCCCUUAUUUCUCUUUGGAUCAUAACUUUGGAGCCGCGCGUUCCAAAAGCCCCAUUGACAAAAGGCUGAGGGGCGCUCCUUGAACCUGCGGCCAGUAGAUGGCGCACCGUCCCCGCUCAGCCGCACCGGGAGCCGAGGCACGGGGCUGGUCUCUGCUGUCCAAACCGAAAACCGGCAUUACCCGCGCAGGCAAGAGGCAAAUAUUAAACCUAGCAUUUUAUGCAUUUUGAGAAAGAAAGACUUUCUGUUUAGGUUCAUUCCUCAUUCUCUGGAGAUGUGUUUGGAAACCCCGUCUGCCACUGAACUCAUCACUGUGGCCUUUUAUUCACUUACAAAAUGCUUCCCCAGAAUCCCAGCUCAAUUACCUUUUGUCUCCCUGCUGUCCUAAUACUCUGGUUGAAUGUAGGAAAAACAAAGCAGCAAGGUCAGACGUCCCCUUUCUUGCCCGCAAUGGUUUAUCUUUCAUGUUUUCCAGAACCAAAGGGAAUGGGUGGCCCUGCUGCCCACAUAUGCUCUGUAUGUGUUGUGUGUCUCUCUGUGUAUAUAGUGCAAACGUUUACUUUUGUCCAAAGGAAAGACACACACACACACAUAUAUAAACGAGUAAAAAUAGUUGAGUAUAUGUCUUUCCUUCGGGCAAAAGCCCACGUUCGUGGGCAAUGUUUUCACCAGUCUAUUCAAAGCAUAUGUUUACAUGUCAUUUCAAGAGAUCCAGUAUCUGAAAAAUUAUCAUAAACAUCUGAUGGUUAAUCAAUUCCACAACUAGGUACUGACUGCAAUGAUGUGCAAAGUCUUAUAGUCUGUGGGGCUGGGAAUACUUAAAGUAAGUUCUUACGCUCAAAGAUAUUACCACCCAGUCCUGGAUAAUGAGAGCCAAAGUGUUGUGUGUGGAUUUGAAUAGGUGCAUGCAGGCUGUGUGUGUAUGGUAGUGUGUGUGCUGUGUUCAGUCAAGAUUGAGGUCUGAGGGCUGUUAUCCACUUAGAUCCACUAGAUCUAGUAUACCUAGAUAUAGUCAUAAGUAAUAAUGAGUACACAACUAAAUUAAUAAGUAGGUUUGGUCACCUCCCAGCACCAUGCCUAGGUCGAGCGGGUACUGAUCUCUAUUGAUGGAGAUGUGAAUGGGGCUCCAAAAAGGACCAGAUUUACCUCAAAUUGGUGGAAUAACUUACCAUUUCUUAAGUACUUUCACGUGUAUUAUUUCAAGAAUAGUACUUUGUGAAUAUUUUAUGUUGCGACUUACAUUCAACACUAUGUAAGCAAGAGCUACACAGAUACAGACAUUAAAGAACAAGGUGUGACCAGAACCCAGAAUCCCAGACAUAGCUUCAUCAGUUUUGCUUUCUAUUGCCUAUAUUUUUCCCCAGAAAAUAUUUAGUGGAUUUGGAUGGAAAGGAAAAAUGCCUCUGGUGAGAAAGUAAGGGGACUCUGUGUGUGUGUGUGUGUGUGUGUGUGUGUGUGUGUGUAGGCGUGUGUGUGUGCUAUUAAAUGUCUUUCCAGAGGUCUUGGUCUGUUGCAAUAGCCUUGCCAGUCCUUCAAUUACUGUUUUCUUUCAUGAGAAAUUGUUACUGGAAUGCACUCACCCUUUUAGGGAGCUGUGAAUGUGGUUAUAAUUGCCUGUUUCUAAGAUAAUUGGCCUGACUGCAUAGCCCUGGAAAAGUUACUCGAACGAAUGGGCAUGUGGAGGGAAGCUUGAGCUGCCUUCGGACUUUAUCUGGGCUGUGAGGCCCAGCUGCCACCAUCGGCCAGCGGCAUGGAGUAACCAAAGUAGAUGGCAAGAGAGAUGGACCUGGAAGGAUCUGUAAAGAAGUCCAUCUCAAAGGCAAUGGCCACUUGAGUUUUGACAUGUCCUUGCAGAAAGAUUUUUUUUUUUUUUGACUGUAAAGCUCCCCAUUUGUAACUUUUGGUGAGUUCACAUCCAGUAGCUGUAGAAAAUCAGAGCUUUCCGUGGGUCCCACUCUCCUCUUUCGAGGCCCUGGAGGCUCAGCAUCUGAAUGUUAUCCCAGUCUGAAAGAGCAAUGGAAGGGAAAUAGAAUGGUGAAAGUUUGAUUGAUUUCAGGUGGUAAAUCAAUGCACAAUUUUCUAACGUCUAUAUUAUCAGUGCUAUCAAUGGCCUUUGAUGCCAUUGAUCAAAGAGUUGUGCUAAUUCAUUACAAGCUGACACGAAAUGACCGUGUUCUUAGCUCCUGGGGAGAAGCUAAAAUACACUUUCUCUUAAAAGUGGAGAAUCCUAGGGUGUUACAGGAUGCAAUUAGUAGUUUUCUUUUCUUUUCUUUUCCCCUGUUAAAUUUUAGGCUCUCAUUUUGCUUUCUGAAAAAAAGGAAAUUUCUGCUGGAAAACUCCUUGUGAUGAAUUUCUGCUGCCAUAACUGCAGCUUGGUUACCAAAAAGGUUAAAGAAUCUUUCACUUGCUCUGAGCAAGAGAGUAGUCAUUCACAGGGGAACACAGAGACCAGCAUUGUAAUAAGGUGAGGAACCCAAUCAGGAACCCCUAACGUAAUGAAAGCUGGCCCGGCCAUUCCAGGAUUUAUGGAAAGCGAAUAGCGCUGUCGGAAAAAUCAGCUUAACAAAUCAGUGUUGCUGUUCUUGUAUUUCUUGCUUUCAUACCCUCUCCUCCCUAAACAACCUUCUUUUUGUGUUACGCCCUCACAGGGUCACAGGAUCAUAUGGGUUAAAUGUAAAGGAUAAGACAGGGUAGAUGUAAAGCCUUGUCAGGAUUGGAAAUUAUUUGAACUCCCUGCAUUUUGAGGACAUAUUGCAGAGUUGCUACCCAGAGCUCCCCCUGAGCCCAGGCAGAUGACAAGGCAGGACCCAUGCCAGGCUGCUUUGGGAAGCUGUGAGUUUUGUGGUUCGUUCGCUGAACGUUUUUUUCAGUGACUAACGGUUUAAGCAUGCCUCGGCAAGCUCCCGUUUAAUUUUUCAAAAUAGUAGUCCAAAACCAGGCCAAUCAUAUGUUUCUUUUUCAAAGUUUUUUUUUUUUUUUAGCCGUGGGACACAAUUAGAAUUUGCUGCUGCUUCGAAUUGCAGCAACUAUGCAGCCAAUGAGGAGAAUGAGGCAGACCUGUACACACCAACAGGGAAGGGCCCAAAAGAUGUAUCCUUAAGUGAAAAAAGCAACAAGUAGAACAAUUUGUUUAGGAAAAAUCUGUUGUUUACAGUCAUUAUAAAGAAAAACGAGCAGAAGCACAUACAGCAAACUCUAAAUGCGGUUACCUUUGGGGAGAGAAGAGGAGUGAGUGAGGGGUGACAAGUGGCCUUGACCAUUUCACUCUUUAUACUUGAAUCUUUUUUGCUGUGCUAUAUUAAUGAACUAUUUCUGUAAUAAAGUAGUUUUUAAAGGAUGACUCUUAAUAGGAUCACUCUGGACGUGAGGCUUUAUGCGCACUGAGAAAAACACCUCUUUUUAUCCUCUGCUUUGUGUCAGAGUGUAUACAUAAUAUGUUUGUCGCUAUGUCAUUUGCCGUAACGCAGCUAAGAAGAGGUUAAGCCAUCUAGAUCGUUUUUAAGCGCCUGGAUUCUUGCAAUCAAGGCAAUCAAAAUCCGCUUCCACCUUAGCCCUCUGCCACCAUUCAUCAAAUAGGUCUUGUUCUGCUGGGCAGACAGUCUUGUUUCACAAGCAGGAAAAAUACCCAGCUGCAAAUGGUUUGCACAGAGCUGGGGAGAAGUCUACAGAGGAUUCCAGGAGAAGGAGGUCAGCGGUGUCCCGCUCUGGCUCUGGGCGCGUGUGUGCUUUCUUUUCCUGGAGCGAAACCUCUGAAUCGCCGGAAGUCCCGGAGAUGAAUGAAAGCUGUCCUGGCACGCAGAGUGGGCUUUAGAGAUGAGGGUUAACCGAAUGCUAACGGGGGAGAAAGAAGCAUCGGGGGUUCUGGCUGAAGGAACGGGAAGCGGCAUUCCAAAGGAGCCAGCCUGGCCUGACCACCUUUCUGAUUUCAUUUGUGUUUCUGAGCUCCCCCCGAACAACGUCUCACUUUCCUUCAGUGUCUGUUACCAGAUCACAUCUUCAGAAGGUUGGGGGAGUUCCCUGCUGUCCUUGGUGGGGGGGUUCUUGGUGAGCACAGGAGAUCCCUUCUCUUUCUCUCUCUCUUUUUUGAUUUCUUCCCAGUCUCCCACUGUUCUUCAGUCGAAGCUUUCUGCACUAUCUCCAGCAGGCAUAUUAGGGUUAUAAAGCAUCAUGAAACAUAAAUCAACUCUACUUAUAUAAAAAAAACAAAACUGAAAAAAGAGUCAUAAAACAGGGACAUAGAGCUCCGUAGUCCUUUAAUUUUCCUGGGAAACAGUAAAGCUGAUGACGUGGUCAGUAUCUAACUGAAUCUUUUGUUUUUGUUUGUUUUUCCCUCCCUGAAUAUUAUUCGGAGCGUCACACUCUUGACCAGCUGGUUCCCUGGUGCAGGUGGGAAUAAGAACUGGUGGAGAGGAGUUCCUGUGGGAGCUCAGCGGUAAACCCAACUAGCAUCCAUGAGGACUCAGGUUCGAUCCCUGGCUCUGCUCAGUGGGUUAAGGACCUGGCAUUGCUGUGAGCUGUGGUGUAGGUCGCAGAUGUGGCU
rnacentral:lncRNA from 1 species